UACAGAGGGGCAAGCGUUGUUCGGAAUUACUGGGCGUAAAGGGCGCGUAGGCGGCCUUCUAAGUCGAACGUGAAAUCCCCGGGCUCAACCCGGGAACUGCGUCCGAGACUGAAAGGCUUGAAUCCGGGAGAGGGAUGUGGAAUUCCAGGUGUAGCGGUGAAAUGCGUAGAUAUCUGGAGGAACAUCGGUGGCGAAGGCGGCAUCCUGGACCGGUAUUGACGCUGAGGCGCGAAAGCCAGGGGAGCAAACGGG
rnacentral:rRNA from 1 species